GGAGGUGUGGCCGAGUGGUCGAUGGCGGCAGUCUUGAAAACUGUUGUACAGCAAUGUACCGGGGGUUCGAAUCCCUCCGCCUCCG
rnacentral:tRNA from 1 species